CACCAGUAAAAGAAAUAACUUAAUAGAAGUUGCACAAUCUUUUGAGAUAUUCAAAGCUGCUUUUCUGAAGAUUGAUUUGGAUAACUGCAAGAUAUGGAAGUCAUCGACUGAAGUUGAUGAAAUGAUGCAACAUGUAACCAGGCAGCCAAGGAAGAUCAUCACUAGAAAGUUGUUUGACAUUAUUGUUAAAUCUGUGUACAAGAAGACAUGGUUUUUUCUUUUUUGCUGUUGUGUACUUUAGUUUGCAGACUGUUUGGUUGGGUGUUUGUAGUUUUUUUUUCAUGUGUGAUGUG